GCGGCGUGCUUACACAUGCAAGUCGAGCGGAGAUUGCAUUUAUGUAAUCUUAGCGGCGGACGGGUGAGUAACGCGUAGGCAACCUGCCUUGCACAGAGGGAUAACACCGGGAAACUGGUGCUAAUACCACAUGAUAUCAUAACAAGGCAUCUUGAAAUGAUCAAAGGAGAAAUCCGGUGCAAGAUGGGCCUGCGUCCGAUUAGUUAGUUGGUGAGGUAACGGCUCACCAAGGCGACGAUCGGUAGCCGAACUGAGAGGUUGAUCGGCCACAUUGGGACUGAGACACGGCCCAGACUCCUACGGGAGGCAGCAGUGGGGAAUAUUGCGCAAUGGGGGGAACCCUGACGCAGCAACGCCGCGUGAAGGAAGAAGGCCUUCGGGUUGUAAACUUUUUUGAUUGGGGAAGAAAAAAAUGACGGUACCCAAGGAACAAGCCACGGCUAACUACGUGCCAGCAGCCGCGGUAAUACGUAGGUGGCGAGCGUUGUCCGGAAUUACUGGGUGUAAAGGGCGUGUAGGCGGGAUUGUAAGUCAGAUGUGAAAUUCCAGGGCUUAACUCUGGAGGUGCAUCUGAAACUAUAAUUCUUGAGUGCUGGAGAGGAAAGCGGAAUUCCUAGUGUAGCGGUGAAAUGCGUAGAUAUUAGGAAGAACACCAGUGGCGAAGGCGGCUUUCUGGACAGUAACUGACGCUGAGGCGCGAAAGCGUGGGGAGCAAACAGGAUUAGAUACCCUGGUAGUCCACGCUGUAAACGAUGGAUACUAGGUGUAGGAGGUAUUGACACCCUUUUGGCCCGGAAGUUAACCCAAUAGUAAUCCAACUUGGGAAUUCCGCCGCCAAGCUUGAAAUUCAAAGGAUUGAACGGGGCCCCGCACACCAAUUGAAUAAUUUGUUUUAAUUGGACCACACCGGAGGCCUUACACCAGGCUUGAAUUCCUUCGAUUACACAUAAAAUAAAUGUAACUCUUUCGGAACAAGAAACACAGUUGUCACAUGUUGUUCUCCACUUCUUUUCUUAAAAUGUUGGUUAAAUUCCGCCACGAACCCCACCCCUAAUGUUAAUUGCCAUCAAUAAAUUGGGCACUUUUACGAGGCUGCCCGGUGACCAAUUCCGACGAAAGGUGGGGACGACGUCAAAUCAUCAUGCCCCUUAUGUCCUGGGCUACACACGUACUACAAUGGUCACUACAAAGGGAAGCAAUACCGCAAGGAGGAGCAAAUC
rnacentral:rRNA from 1 species